rnacentral:lncRNA from 1 species
GUUAAAAAGUAUCAUAUCAAUUUACAUUGGUUCGGGCUUUGACGAAUAUAUUUUAGAAAACUUAGGAGCUGCUGCCAUUACUUGACUUAUUCUUCUCCAACCAAAUCUUUGUUCUAGAUGCAUGUUGUUCUUGUUGUGUUCAAGCUUCAAUAUACCAAAACAAUUGAACUAAUAGAAGUGAGUUUGAAUAUGGAGAAAGACUGGUUAUAUGAAUUGGAUAUGUUAGUGUCACAUAUGAUUGUAUUCUAGCUAUCUGAAAUCAAUUAUCAAACUACAAAAUACCAAGGCUUACUACUUCGAUCUUAAUUCAACAUAUAAUCUAUUCUACGAAUAUCAAUUCAACAAUACUUCCAUAUUCUUAUCAGUUCAUCUCCCACUUACUCUCUUUGUGAUUUAUAUAUAUUCAAUUAUUGAUCUCCAACUUACUUAUUAUAUUCAUUUUCUCAAUUCAUCAUACAAAAUUCAAUAUCUUUACUUAACACAACAUAAUUUGAUAAUUUCAAUUCUCAAGGUCACAGAUUUUCUCCAAAAUGGUCAGUUCAAAGUCAUAUUCGAGAAUAUUCUAAUCAUGAUUUCAACAAUACUUCUCUCAAUCACAAUUCUUCAUAAAAAAAUAAUAAAAGCAAAGAAAAUAAAAAAGUAGUACCAAACUUAUCCCGGCUUAUGACUAUCACAG